UACAGAGGUCUCAAGCGUUGUUCGGAUUCAUUGGGCGUAAAGGGUGCGUAGGCGGGUCUUUAAGUCAGGGGUGAAAUCCUGGAGCUCAACUCCAGAACUGCCUUUGAUACUGAAGAUCUUGAGUUCGGGAGAGGUGAGUGGAACUGCGAGUGUAGAGGUGAAAUUCGUAGAUAUUCGCAAGAACACCAGUGGCGAAGGCGGCUCACUGGCCCGAUACUGACGCUGAGGCACGAAAGCGUGGGGAGCAAACAGGGA
rnacentral:rRNA from 1 species